rnacentral:rRNA from 1 species
UACGGAGGAUCCGAGCGUUAUCCGGAUUUAUUGGGUUUAAAGGGUGCGCAGGCGGCAUCUCAAGUCUGUGGUGAAAUGUCAGGGCUCAACCUUGGCACUGCCAUGGAAACUGGGGAGCUAGAGUGCGUUUGGGGUGCAUGGAAUGUGUGGUGUAGCGGUGAAAUGCAUAGAUAUCACACAGAACGCCGAUCGCGAAGGCAGUGCACCAAGCCGCAACUGACGCUCAGGCACGAAAGUGCGGGGAU